GGAAGAAGCAAAAAGAGAAGAAGAAGAGGAUGUAAUGGACGAAGACGAUGAAUAACUUUUUUCAUAUUGAUUCACCCUAUCUUUGCUGUUUGUUUUGCUUUCGCUUUUUUGCCUUCAAUUUUACCACAAGACAGCAUUGUAUUGGUCUUAAGACUUGAAGAAGAGUAAAC
rnacentral:ribozyme from 1 species